rnacentral:rRNA from 1 species
UACGAAGGGGGCUAGCGUUGCUCGGAAUCACUGGGCGUAAAGCGCACGUAGGCGGAUUGCUAAGUCAGGGGUGAAAUCCUGGGAGCUCAACUCCAGAACUGCCUUUGAUACUGGCAACCUUGAGUCCGGGAGAGGUGAGUGGAACUGCGGAGUGUAGAGGUGAAAUUCGUAGAUAUUCGCAAGAACACCAGUGGCGAAGGCGGCUCACUGGCCCGGUACUGACGCUGAGGUGCGAAAGCGUGGGGAGCAAACAGG